rnacentral:rRNA from 1 species
CCUACGGGAGGCAGCAGUGGGGAAUUUUGGACAAUGGGCGAAAGCCUGAUCCAGCCAUUCCGCGUGCAGGAUGAAGGCCCUCGGGUUGUAAACUGCUUUUGUACAGAACGAAAAGGUUUCUAUUAAUACUAGGAGCUCAUGACGGUACUGUAAGAAUAAGCACCGGCUAACUACGUGCCAGCAGCCGCGGUAAUACGUAGGGUGCAAGCGUUAAUCGGAAUUACUGGGCGUAAAGCGUGCGCAGGCGGUUAUAUAAGUCAGAUGUGAAAUCCCCGGGCUCAACCUGGGAACUGCAUUUGAGACUGUAUAGCUAGAGUACGGUAGAGGGGGAUGGAAUUCCGCGUGUAGCAGUGAAAUGCGUAGAUAUGCGGAGGAACACCGAUGGCGAAGGCAAUCCCCUGGACCUGUACUGACGCUCAUGCACGAAAGCGUGGGGAGCAAACAGGAUUAGAUACCCUGGUAGUCCACGCCCUAAACGAUGUCAACUGGUUGUUGGGUCUUAACUGACUCAGUAACGAAGCUAACGCGNGAGUGACGCCGNGGGAGGUACGGCCGCGAGUAGAACGUACGAAAGAAGUUAGACGGCGUGAGACGUGCCGACGGACGACGACGAGGGAGGAGG